CGGGACACGUGGUAUCCUGUCUGAAUAUGGGGGGACCAUCCUCCAAGGCUAAAUACUCCUGACUGACCGAUAGUGAACCAGUACCGUGAGGGAAAGGCGAAAAGAACCCCGGCGAGGGGAGUGAAAAAGAACCUGAAACCGUGUACGUACAAGCAGUGGGAGCACGCUUAGGCGUGUGACUGCGUACCUUUUGUAUAAUGGGUCAGCGACUUAUAUUCUGUAGCAAGGUUAACCGAAUAGGGGAGCCGAAGGGAAACCGAGUCUUAACUGGGCGUUAAGUUGCAGGGUAUAGACCCGAAACCCGGUGAUCUAGCCAUGGGCAGGUUGAAGGUUGGGUAACACUAACUGGAGGACCGAACCGACUAAUGUUGAAAAAUUAGCGGAUGACUUGUGGCUGGGGGUGAAAGGCCAAUCAAACCGGGAGAUAGCUGGUUCUCCCCGAAAGCUAUUUAGGUAGCGCCUCGUGAAUUCAUCUCCGGGGGUAGAGCACUGUUUCGGCAAGGGGGUCAUCCCGACUUACCAACCCGAUGCAAACUGCGAAUACCGGAGAAUGUUAUCACGGGAGACACACGGCGGGUGCUAACGUCCGUCGUGAAGAGGGAAACAACCCAGACCGCCAGCUAAGGUCCCAAAGUCAUGGUUAAGUGGGAAACGAUGUGGGAAGGCCCAGACAGCCAGGAUGUUGGCUUAGAAGCAGCCAUCAUUUAAAGAAAGCGUAAUAGCUCACUGGUCGAGUCGGCCUGCGCGGAAGAUGUAACGGGGCUAAACCAUGCACCGAAGCUGCGGCAGCGACGCUGAUGCGUUGUUGGGUAGGGGAGCGUUCUGUAAGCCUGUGAAGGUGUGCUGUGAGGCAUGCUGGAGGUAU
rnacentral:rRNA from 1 species